rnacentral:lncRNA from 1 species
GGCUUCUAGAAGAAGUUGGCCACUUAGGGUUUGCCCUUGGAGUCGACUACUCUCGUAAACCCCAAUGCCCGAUAAGUUCGGGUCUUAAUUUGAAAUACCAAUACAAUCUACUCUUUAUGCUAGUCUAUAUGAACCAACUAUGUCUGAUUCACUUGCUUAACUAAACUAAGUAUGAGUUUGUUGAGAACUCAAAAAAGAUGUGAGAAGGUCAGGGCGGACAAAUGUGGGACUUCAAAGUCAACUUGGAUCUUUAAUCUACCAUAUCUUAGGUAUACUAUAGUUAUAAUGAAGCAAGGCUGAAAAACCUCCCUAUGCAUAAAGAUGUAUAAUCGUGCUAGUCCCUGAAAGAUAGAGUGGAUAGAGAAGUCCCAUUUUAUGCAUUUAUCUUAGAUUGGUCAUUGGAAAAAAUUAUUAACAUGAAC